rnacentral:lncRNA from 1 species
CCGCUCCCGCGUCCACCCCCUCACCGCACCCAGGCGCGCUCCCGGGCACCCCAGCCCGCCUCUGCUCCCGCACCCCUCUCCCGGGCCUCGGUAGGGGAGGACACGUCAGGGGACAUAAAUAAAUAAAUAAUUCCAUUCAGCGGAUGACAGCGAGGCCGGGCGGCUGCUGCUGGGCGGGGGGACCGGGAGAGCGGCGGUGCGCACCGGGUGUCAGAGUCAGGCAUGGAGCUGUCAGGUGCUAGUGAAGCUAAGAGAUCAGACUGACCUUGGUUAAGUGCAGAGAGGAGGCGGACACUUCACAUACCAUUGGAAACACGUGGACAGUCGUUUUGGAACACAGCCCAGUGUAAAUGGAAACUCUGCUC